CGCGGGGUGGAGCAAUCGGUAGCUUGCUGGGCUCAUAACCCAGAGGUUGGAGGUUCGAGUCCUCUCCCCGCAACCA
rnacentral:tRNA from 1 species